GCCGGACGCCGAACAUCGUGCGCGGACGAUCGUUGAGGAGGGAGGACGAAGUGGUCGUUGUAAAUCUCGUGAACUCAGGUAUCCAGAAUCGUUCCAGUUGAAUGUGGAUGGUCCCGGAAUAACAACCAGUGGAGUGCAGCCGCCAAGACCCAACUACUACCCGUUGCGCGUCCGGAAAGUUUGAAGUUUCAACGAUUGAAACUGAACAGUGUUUUGAUGCCAGAGCUGACUGAUGGGUGCACAUGGUUCCUUCGAAUGUUCUUCCUUUGAAAAAAUAAACGUGUUUUGAUUCCAGAGCUGACUGAUGGGUGCACAUGGUUCCCUCGAAUAUUCUUCCUUUGAAAAAAUAAACGGGUUUUGAAGCCAGAGGUGAUUGGCGCAUUUUCAUCACUACGUAUACAUAGAAAAUAAAUCCCAAUGUGACAAACAUCACAAUGUGUUACGCAUGGUCAUUACUUAAACUGCUCUCAUUGCUACGACUAUAUGUAGAAAAAAAAGGGGGCUCCAGGGCACAGCACGAUAAGGGUAUACGGCAUAUGCCAGUUAAAAUUACCGACCAAUACAGUUUUUUUGACGGCCACAGCACAGUAAUGCUACACGGC